rnacentral:ncRNA from 1 species
UAUUUGUUUAAUUCUAGCAAUUUAAAUAAUCCUUUCAUCUUUAUAUAUGUAACUAUUAAACUCCCAUCUCUCUCUUAUUUUAAAACUUCAGUCAGUGCAAUAUAAAACUCUAUAUACUUUUCCAAAAGAUAUGGAAGAUGAAAAAAUAGGUGGUAAAAUUCGUGCCAGCAACCGCGGUUAUACGAUAACCUAAAUUUAUUUCUAUUGAUAAAGAGAAAUAAAUUAAAAAGAUAAAUUAAAUCACUAUUAGGUCCAAUUUUCAUUUAUAUUUAUCCAUAAUUAUCUCCCAAAUUUUUCUCGAAAGCUAAGAUAAAAACAAGGAUUAGAUACCCUUCUAUCCUUAGCUAUUAAUUCUUCACGGGUAGUAAAAACUCAAGUUUCAAACCCAAAGAUCUUGGCGGCAUCAUAAUCCAAUCAGGGGAACCUGCCUCUUAAUCCGAUACUCCACGUAAUCCCAACCUUAUUUUGACUUUCAGCCUGUAUAUUGCCGCCACAGCUUACCUUAAAAGAGAAGUAAGCUAAAAGAAUCCUUCUUCUAAAUUCCAGGUCGAAAUGCAGCCAAUAUUAAGGAGCAAGGUGGGUUACAAUCUUUAUUUAAAGACACUUUUUCAUAAAUACCUCAAGGUGGACUUGAAAGUAAUUUUUUAUAAUUCUAUGAAUUAGGAAAUCUAUGAUGUGUACAAAUCGCCCGUCACUCUCGUUGAAAAAUGAGAUAAGUCGUAACAUAGUUGAUGUAAUGGAAAUUGCAUC